GCGCUGUGGGAGGAGAGGCCGGGCCGGGCCGCACCCGCCGCGGCCGCGGCCCGCAAGGGGUCCCGGAUGUGUCCGACUCGGGUGUCCCGGGCCACAGCAGGAUGUGCCGAAACCAGCAGGGCCCCUACGGCCUAGAAACCCAGUGAUAUCCUGAGGUACAUUGCCAACAGGGAGACAUCUGCUGAUAACAGGCUACUGAAUGUCACUGCAUGACUGAUAAGAACUAUAGCAUUCCAUUGGGAGAUGCUCUGCCCAGAGGGAGGAGCCAAGCAUUCCUACCUGGAUAUAGUCUUGAGCUUCUGGAACACAAGCAUGGCUUCUCCACUGGAUUUCCCAGAGGAACAGCUGUCUCCUCUUCCACUGGAUUUCAGAGGAAGACUACACGCUUCUACAGGAUCCCUGCUCCUGAACCACACCUGACACUCCAGGAGGACUGCAGCCACAACUCCAAUUGGACUGCUACCAGCACCCUGACCAGCAGGUGUCAGCUUGUAUUCUGACUCUGUCAGUGUUAUUUUGGUUUACUGAAUUGUUUAUUUUAUCUUUUUAUUUUCUUCCCUAAUAAAGAACUGUUAUUUCCUGCUCCCAUA